CAAAAACUACUAUUUUUCCAAGAAAAAUUUGUUUGUAAAACUAUUUAUUAAAUUUAUUUUCAAAAAUAUUAAAGGGUGUUAUAGGAAAAUAUGAUACAAAAUAUAGAUUAGUCUAAAGGGACAUAGUUAUCAUUUUUUUGCUCUAAAAAAAGUUUUCCCAAGAUUAUUUGAGAAUUGAUUUGUAUAUGUGUCAUCACUAUAUUCAUAAGAGAAAAAAUGACAUAGUUUAAGAAAAAUAUGACACAUCAUCAAGUUAACAGUGACAUGUAAAAUUUUGUAUAUUAAAAUUUAUGUUUUUGGUAAUUAAAUAUGGCAAUGAUUAUUUUCUAUAUACAGAUUUUUUAUUUUUGCAAAAUUUCAUAAUAUAAUAAUGACUAAUAAAUUUUAUAUCAAAAAUAUUUUUUUGCAUAAAUAUUUAUUUUGGUAAGAUUUUAGAAAUAUGGUAAUAGUUAUUUCUUUAUAUAUAUAUAUAUAUAUAUAUAUAUAUAUAUAUAUAUAUAUAUAUAUUAAAAUAAUAUAUGUCACAUUAAUAAAUAAAUAAUAAUUACGAAUAUAAGAUUUUUCCAUCAAUUUAUAAAUCAUAUUUUUAUUAUUAUAUAUAUUAUCAAAUAACUGAAGUUAUAAUUAUAUAUUUUUAUCAAAUUAUAUAUGUAAUUAUAUUAAUGUAUAUAUUUAUUAUAAUUGAUUUCUAUAUUUAAAAUAGAGUAUUUAAGUAAAUUAUAAUAUGAAUUAAAAUAUUCUUAUGAAAUGGAUCUGUAUGACUUUUUACGGUAGAAAAAAUGUUAUUUAUCUUUUAUAGAGAAAAAUAUCAUAAAAAGAGAAUGGAACUCUUUGAAUUAUUCAUUAUUUAUUUUCUAUCUAUGUGAUACUAUAUGGAAAAUAAAAAUUCGGGGAUAUAUUUGUGGUUAAUGUGGUAGCUGAAAAUUAGGGUCGUGAUAAGCUAAGUUAGUAGGUAGGUGAUUGAUUUUAGGAAUAUUUUGUAACUACAAAGAUAUUAAGUGCAGUACACUUAGUAAAAUAAACUCCAUGGAAGUCCGUAUUUUUUAAGCCCUCGACAAGCUGUUCUCGGAAAAAUCAUCAUUUUUAAGAGCGGAUCAUCGGAGAGGCCAAAAUUACCGGGUUCCGACUCUCAGUUUAACAUGACUCUUUUCUUUUUGCGGCAAGCGGAUAGUGUGGACAUAGCUGAGCCUCUAGAUGGUGGUAUUGGUUUUUUGUGUAUGCCCUUGUUUAGCUAGAUAGAGUUAUGUUUAGGUUUAUUUUUGUUUUUCUGUUUCUUGUUAUUUUUUGUAAUUCUGUCAAAACUUAAAAGCUUGGUAAUGAUAUCUUUACAUUUUUACCAAAAAAAAAACAUAACACAAAACCGGAACUCAAUUUCACAAUUGGAUGUAAACCGAGUCAAAUUUGUAAUAUGCAUUCUUAUGCUAAAUGUGCUUAAUGUUACACGAAGGUUUGGUAAUGCUUCUGUUUUUUAAGUUACAAACUGUAUUUUAUAAUGUUAUAAAAUAUCAAAGAAAUGAAAAAUGCGGUAGCUGCGGUAAACUGAACCGAGUUGUAGCCUGGUCUGAGGUUCAAAGAUAUGAUUAUUUAUAGUGGUUUUCGAGUUGGGCUGGUAAAGCCCGAUUGGUAAAAAAAACGUGAAAACCUAAUUAUUUACUAAAUAACUGCACUUAACGACGAUGGCACAAGAUGUAAUUAAAAUAGUGAAUUAAAGGUUAAUUUCCAAUUAUACUUUAGUUUUAGUAGAUUAGAUAUUCGCACACGUAAAAAGACAAAAGCUUGUUCAAUGGUUAGGCUAAAACUCAAAACCAUGUGGUUAAAGUGCAACUUACAAUAGAAAUAUUUUUAUAUAUAAGAAAAGGAUUUCACUCAAAAUUUUAGGUGAAAAUUAAAAUUUUAAAUUCAUGAAAGUUAAAAAAGUAUAUCUUAUGUUCUAAGAAGAUACAUUAAACCAUAUGACUUGAUAUUUUUGAAAUUAUUUAACAUUAUUGAAAGUUAAAAAACUAUAUCUUAAAGUUGAAAAUACAAGUUUUACAAAAACUAACAUAGAAGUCUUCUUGAAUUAGCUAAUAACAUUAACAAGCACGAAUGUUGUUAACCUCAUAAUUAUUUUCAAUUAAGUUAUAAGUUUCAUUUAGUAGCUUCAAUAUUGACAAAUAUACAUGAAUUAACAUGAAAAUGUUAAAAAAAUCUUUAUAAUCUUAGAGAAAAUGAAAGUGUAUAACACGUUGACGUUGAAGACUUCCAUGAAACUUCUGACCGACUUUCAUGGAAGUCGUCAAAGAAGUCAUUUUUGCAAUUGAAAAUUUACAAAGGAUGACUUACAGGGAAGUCUGCUCUACAUGAGACUUCUUUGGAAGUCGUCUUUGUAAAUUUUGGCUUACUUUUGUUUUCAAAUUUUUUUUGAACAUCUCAGAGACGAUUUCCAUGUAAGUCGUUUAGAAUGAACAUGUUAGUUUUGUAUUUGACUGUGUUGUGUCAAAAAUUUGUCAUUUUUAGACGACUUACAAAGAAGUCGUCCACAUAAAAACAAAAUUUCAAUAUUUAAUUUUUUGUUAAACGACUUCCAUGUAAGGCGUCUCGGGUUAAUUUUGUAAUUGAAAAAUAAACUUUAAAAUAUUAAAUUUUCUUGGGACGACUUACAUGUAAGUCUUCCGGAAGACGACUUACACGAAAGUCGUCUGUGGUAGCCAAAGUUUGACUGGAAUCUCGGAAUAAAAUCAUGGAAGACUUACACGUAAGUCGUCUAACGGAAGACUUACAUGUAAGUCGUCCGGAUGAAAUUAAAUAUUUAAGUUUUAUUUUUUAAUUACAAAAGUAACUCGAGACGACUUAAAUGGAAGUCAUCUAGCAAAAAUUAAAUAUUGAAGUUUUAUUUUUCUGUGGAUGACUUCCACGUAAGUCGUUUAAGAAAAGUCAAAUUUCGGAUACAAUCCGUUCAAAUGCAAAAUUAACAUGGCUAUCCUAGAUGACUUACAUGGAAGUCAUCUUUGGGAUUUUUAAUUUUUUUUGUAAACAAAGAAAACCAGAAGACUUCCAAAUAAGUUGUCUCAAAAGAUACACAUAGAGUCCAUUGCAAAACUAACUUAUGCAUUGACCAGAAGACUUUUGUGUAAGUCUUCUACAUCCAGAAGACUUACACGAAAGUCUUAUGACGGACAGAUCUAAAAAAAAUUGAUUUAAUACCUUAAAUUCAUGAGAUAACUUCCUUAGCACACAUAAGUCUUUUUUCAAGCACCCAGAACCUCAAACGAAGGUGACCCACCAAAAAUCGUGAGCUUGAAUGGCUCUAUGAACCUUAAAAAAUUUUAGAAUCAAAAUUUUGGGUUUUUUCUUAUGAAUAUAGAAAGAAAGUGAAAGAGAUAUUGUUUUUAGUUCAUAUGAAAUGAGAAAGAAUGAGUGUAAAUCAAUUUUGGGUGCAUUAAGAGCUUCAACUUGGUUAUUCAUAGUGGUUGGUGUAUUGAUGGAAAUUACAUUCUUGUAAAUGCUUGAAGAUGAUGGGGUUAAGAGAGUAAAAAAUCAAUUUUCGAAGAAAAAAAUUAAUGGCAUUUUCGUAAAUAAUUCAAACUUAUAGGGUGAAUAAGGCAAAUGAAAUUUCCAAAAAAAUCAUAGUUUAGUUUUGUGUUUGACUUUGUGUUUUUAGUCAAUUUUGCAAAUAUCCCAUAAUAAAAGUACAUAUCACAAGUAUUAAGUAUAUUACACAUUUAUUUGUAACAACCCCAGAAAAAAAUAUACAUUCUCUUAAAAUAAUUUUGUGCUGAUGAUUUUCUAAUUUUUGGUUCAUACCAAAUUAACUUGAAUUAGUUAUUUCCGACAAAUCUAUUUUUCUUAUAUGAAAAAUGUUUAGAAAAUAUAGAAACAGGUAAAUACAUGUUCAAACGUUUUAUAGGCUAAUAGAUGAGAUAUUUCGUGUCUCCAUUUUCUUUAAGUCAUAUGUGGUAAAAUAGCCUAGUAGAUCCUCUUAUUAGACAGAGAUAUUUACACCCACAGAUACAAUUCAUCUUAUGAACUACACUUUAAGAUACUUUGAUCUUAGUGGACACUUUCUCUUAGUGAAAUGUCUAGCUUAACCCUCACCUCUUAAUGAAAGUGAGUUUCAUAAAUUCUCUAACCAGAACAAUUGGUUUUCCUAACUAGUAACAAUAAAACAAAUAAUAUAUUUUCAGAUAUUUUUUACUUGAAUUUUGAAAGAGUCGAUCUCUUUUUUCUUUCUCAUUUUGUAGAUUCCAAGAGACAAAUUCUAGUUUUAUCUCUCUCCCGACUUCUUGUAGAUCUAGAAACUCAAACCUUCGCCAAACCGUAAUCAAGUUUCUAGAAAUCAGAUCCUCUCCGGCGAUAGUCGAUUCGUCAUUAGCCACAGCCAGCCACCGUUGAUUGAGAAAAAUCCACCAUGAAAGAUUCUGCAGAGGACGCCGUAGACCACCGUCUUCCCGUGAGACUCUUCGCAACUGAUUCAUAUAUGAAAAGUUAGUUUCUUCUCUGAUUGUGGUGGUGGAUGUCGCGAUGGUAGAUGCCGUGGUGGCGGAUGUAGAUACGGAGGUAGAAGACGUGAGGAGGAGGUGGCUGUGGAUGCCGUGAUGGUGGAUGCUAUGGUGUGGAUAUGGAUACAGAGGUGGAGGACGUGAGGAGGAGGAAGUGGUGGUUUAGUUUUGUCUGAGUUCUCGAUAUAAACCUCAACUCUAUGUUCUUCUGUUUAAAUCUGUAGAAAAGUUUUAUCCUUUAUUCCUCAACUUCGACAUUCACUCGCCACCUAUCCUUGAUUCCUCACCACUUCACAACUUGUCUGACCACUGCUCGUCGCACAACCACACAAUCCCCGUCCACACAUCGCCCGAACACACACUUCGCAACCACUCCACUCCUGACCACACAUCGUCCGUCCACAUAACCUCUGACCAUAAAGCUGCCGAACAGUUUACGCCUAACCAUGACUUACCCGACCACAACUCACCCAACCACAACAACCUUAGCAACCCAUCUCAUGUCGCCACACAUGAUACACCUUUUGUUUUGUUCUUAAUAUGCCUUUCAGCUUAUGUCUAUUCAUGUACUUUAAUUCCACGAACUCAGUAUGUGUGGCUCUUUUGGUAUUUAACUAACAUAUUACAUAUUCAUGCCUAACUUCAUCUCAUGUCCACAGCUGCGUGUGCAUUACAAAGCUAACCACUGAUUCAAUACACACACAACGGCUUCGCAUGCAUCCAUGCCAAUCCCAUCCAAGUCAAAGUAACGGUCUUGCCCACCAAAUUGUGUACACAGAAUUUGCCCACAUAAAAUUUUGUAACAUUUUCGUGUCCAUAUAAAUUGUAUCCACAGAAAGUUGUAUAAAGGAAAAAUAAGUUUGUAAUGUUAGAAAGUUAUAGUGAAAUCUGCUUACCUUCUCUCGCACCAUCUACCAAACACCUUCAUAGCACUCCAUAUUCGCUGCCGUUAGAUCUUUUUAGCUUUUAAACAGAUCCAACGACCAAAAACAAUUAACUUUAUCCCAUAAAUCUAUUUUUUGACUUAACCCUUUUAUCAUUUAUUACAACUGAAUAAAAACUUAAGAAUUUUAAGUUUGAUUCUUUAAAACUAACACACUUCUCUUUAGACAAAAAGAGGGUUAUUUUUGUCCGAAAAAUUACAGCUGGCUAUAGAAUGUGUGCCAACUAGAGAAUGUGUCUGUUAGGGAAAACAAAAGUCACAAUAUGUCUCUCAAUGUAACUCUCUCUAUUAGAGGUAGUUGCAGAGUUCAAAUCCCGCUUGAUGAGAUGGUAACAGAGUUGGUGCGAACAGUGAGCCACUUGCUCCUCUCUUUGUAUCCACCUUAAUAUAUCUUUUACUAAUAUAAUUUUUCUUAUGAAACUCCAAAAUGCAUAUACUACUACAUCAACAAAUACAUUUAAUAAAAUCAAUCGUGGACUAGAUAUAUUCACAUAUGUCUCUCUCAAACGAAAAUAAAACGAAACAAACUCUUUUAUAAUCUGUCAGAAUUUAAAAAGUAAUACAGUCUACAGAGCAAGAAGCAAUGAAUUAUUUUAAUGCUUUGGGCCCUUGGUUUUUCUCAGUCUGGCCAGGUUUACUUAUUAUUAUGUGCAAGUUGCAAAUUUAAAUCCUCUAUCCUAUUAAAUUACAAUGUUGACUCGCUUAUCUUCUUGUGUCCUCUCCCUCUCUCUUCUAUUUCCCAAAUGACUUUGUGAGUAAAAGUCUCUCUUGGAGUCUGACCAAUUCAUUGUCACAUACACAAAUCCUUUCUUCUUGGAACAUUGUCCUGCAUGCCUUCUUUUCAUGAAGCAAUUGUUUAUGUUCCUCUGAAGUCGUUUAUGCUCUUCUCUCAUUGACGAAAAUGCAUGUCUUCAUGUUUCAAAUUUUUUUAUAAGAAAAAACAGAAAUUGCGGUUUGGUUGGAUUCAUGAUUGGUUAUUGCGAUUUGGCUAAAAAAUGGUAUCGUCUUUAUCAAUUUAAAAUAAUAAUAAUAAAAAAUUGGAAAAAUAAAAUAAAAGAAAACACGUAAC